UACGGGGGGAGCAAGCGUUGUUCGGAUUUACUGGGCGUAAAGGGCGCGUAGGCGGCCACCGCAAGUCAGUUGUGAAAGCUCUGGGCUUAACCCAGAAAGGUCAGCUGAUACUGCGGGGCUAGAGUGCAGAAGGGGCAACUGGAAUUCUCGGUGUAGCGGUGAAAUGCGUAGAUAUCGAGAGGAACACCUGCGGCGAAAGCGGCGCUCUGGGCUGCACCUGACGCUGAACUGACGGAAAGCCGGGGAGGCGAACACGGG
rnacentral:rRNA from 1 species